UUUUGAAUGUAUCCUUUAACAACAAUAUAUUUAAUAAUAUUAUAAGACUAAUGCUUAUAACUAUAAUAUAAUUUUUUUCUAUUUUAACAGGUGAUAUGACGAUGUGUGAAGCGUUGGCUAAAGGAUGAUGAGGCUGGAGAACUGGAGGAUGAUGAGGAAGGGAAUGCAGACACAGGGGAAAGAGGCAAGCUGAGGCUGGAGAGGCAUUUCGAAGGAGACAAAGGCUGUAGUGCUAAAGAUGCAAGUAAGUACUGGAGCGAUGAGUUGGAGUACUCACAAAUUCGGGCACAGUCUUUAUUAUUAGUGAUUCAUUCAAUCAUUUCAUAAAUAUUAAAAUUUGGAUUUUUAUGAGAAACUGAUUUUUUUUUUAAUUUUGAAGAUACAGUGGAAAAUUAUGAUUUCUAAUUAAUUUGGAAAAUACGAAUGUCAAAAAUAUGUCUAGGGUAAAGUGGGGUUUGAUUGUAACAUGUAAAACGGGAUGAUUUAAUUAUGAUGAUGAUGAUGAUAAUAAUAAUUGAAAGAUAAAAACAUUUGUAGCUAAGAAACAUUGAACUCUGAUAAUAAUAGUUAUUUUACAAGAAUAAGUGAAAAUCUAUGUUGUUCCUUUGAAAGCUAUAAAGUGUCUUAAGACAGUCCAUGUUCUACUGUACAAAGAUGGAUGGAAAAUAUUUCAUUGAUUGAUAAUGCUUGAUUGACAAUCGUGGAGAGCUUCACUUCAAUUAUUUUCAAAAUUAUUACUCUGCCACAUAAAAUUACAUUGCAAUUCUGCUUAUUUUCAACAAAUUUCUAUUAAAGCUCUCCUAUUUUUCAAGUCUGUAGAUCAACAAAACUUGUGUCUUGGCUCAAUGUAUCGAUGGAUCAAUAAAACAUUAUUUUUU